rnacentral:rRNA from 1 species
UGGGGAAUAUUGCACAAUGGCGGGAACUCUGAUGCAGCGACGCUGCGUGAACGAAGAAGGCUUUCGAGUCGUAAAGUUCUUUUAUAUGGGAAGAUAAUGACGGUAUCAUAAGAAAAAGCCCCGGCGAAAUACGUGCCAGCAGCCGCGGUAAUAAGUAGGGGGCUAGCGUUGUCCGGAAUCACUGGGCGUAAAGGGUUCGCAGGCGGAAAUGCAAGUCAGGUGUAAAAGGCAGUAGCUUAACUACUGUAAGCAUUUGAAACUGCAUAUCUUGAGAAGAGUAGAGGUAAGUGGAAUUUUUAGUGUAGCGGUGAAAUGCGUAGAUAUUAAAAAGAAUACCGGUGGCGAAGGCGACUUACUGGGCUCAUUCUGACGCUGAGGAACGAAAGCGUGGGUAGCAAACAGG